UCUCCGUUGGUGAACCAGCGGAGGGAUCAUUACCGAGUUUACAACUCCCAAACCCAAUGUGAACCAUACCAAACUGUUGCCUCGGCGGGGUCACGCCCCGGAUGCGUCGCAGCCCCGGAACCAGGCGCCCGCCGGAGGGACCAACCAAACUCUUUCUGUAGUCCCCUCGCGGACGUUAUUUUUACAGCUCUGAGCAAAAAUUCAAAAUGAAUCAAAACUUUCAACAACGGAUCUCUUGGUUCUG
rnacentral:misc_RNA from 1 species